rnacentral:rRNA from 1 species
GACGAACGCUGGCGGCGGGCCUAACACAUGCAAGUCGAGCGGAGCGGCGGACGGGUGAGUAAUGCCUAGGAAUCUGAAUGGGAGUGGGGGAUAACGUCCGGACACGGGCGCUAACACCGCAUACUAUCAGAUGAGCCUAGGGCGGAUUAGCUAGUUGGUGGGGUAAAGGCAUACCAAGGCGACGAUCCGUAACUGGUCUGAGAGGAUGAUCAGUCACACGGGAACUGAGAAACGGUCCAGACUCCUACGGGAGGCAGCAGUGGGGAAUAUUGGACAAUGGGCGAAAGCCUGAUCCAGCCAUGCCGCGUGUGUGAAGAAGGUCUUCGGAUUGUAAAGCACUGUAAGUUGGGAGGCGUUACCAACAGAAUAAGCACCGGCUAACUUCGUGCCAGCAGCCGCGGUAAUUC